rnacentral:tRNA from 1 species
ACUAUUUUGACAGAUAAUUGUGUUGAAUUUAGAUUUCAUUUAUGUAGAUUGUUUCUACAAAUAGUA